CUGUGCUAGAUGGGGAGUCAGCGGUGCCCUGUAACCUGCAAUCCGCUAUAGCAGGGUCGAAUUCCUAGCCUAGGCUUUAAUCUGUGUGGUCUGCCCUAUGAAAGUGGCGUUGAUGGUUGGGUCCCACGCGACGUAAGUCCAUGAACCUCGUCAGAUCCGGAAGGAAGCAGCGAUAAGUGGUUACUGCGUGCGCCGUGGAUCAAUCUGACCUGAGUUAACUACAUAGGUAACGCAUAUAGAUUACUGUCAAAGCUAGGUGCACGG
rnacentral:SRP_RNA from 1 species